rnacentral:misc_RNA from 1 species
UCCGAGUUGACCCCGGCAGUCUCCCAUGAGUCCCCAACCCGCCGAAGCGGUUGCUGGCAACAUGGAACGAGGGUUGCGCUCGUUGCGGGACUUAACCCAACAUCUCACGACACGAGCUGACGACAACCAUGCACCACCUGUAAACCGGCCACAAGUGGCUGACACAUCUCUGCAUCAUUCCGGUUCAUGUCGAGCCUUGGUAAGGUUCUUCGCGUUGCAUCGAAUUAAUCCGCAUGCUCCGCCGCUUGUGCGGGCCCCCGUCAAUUCCUUUGAGUUUUAGCCUUGCGGCCGUACUCCCCAGGCGGGGCACUUAAUGCGUUAGCUGCGGCACGGAAACCGUCGAUAGGUCCCCACACCUAGUGCCCAACGUUUACGGCGUGGACUAC